UACGUAGGGUGCAAGCGUUAAUCGGAAUUACUGGGCGUAAAGCGUGCGCAGGCGGCUUUGCAAGACAGAUGUGAAAUCCCCGGGCUCAACCUGGGAACUGCAUUUGUGACUGCAAGGCUACAGUACGGCAGAGGGGGAUGGAAUUCCGCGUGUAGCAGUGAAAUGCGUAGAUAUGCGGAGGAACACCAAUGGCGAAGGCAAUCCCCUGGGCCUGUACUGACGCUCAUGCACGAAAGCGUGGGGAGCAAACAGG
rnacentral:rRNA from 1 species